CAUUCGCUCGGGGUGCGCGCGUGUUUGGGCACGUGGAGCGUCUCCCCCGCGGGUGGGUGGUCAGCGGCGUCGAGCCUCUGGGGUGGGGUGCCAGGAGAGGCGGGCAGAUUUAUUAAGACGACGCCGCUGACGCUAAGGGGGGUUGGGGGGUCUGGGUGGCGGUGGGUGGUUUUGUGCCUGAGGAGAGCGAGCGAGCGAGCGGCGGCGGCCGACGACGAGGCGCGCCGGCAGCGGCCCGCACGAAGUCAGUCGAGCGCGGGGAGGAGCACUCGAGCUUUAUGGAGUUCUACAGCCUCGUAAGACUCUCGUUCCGACUUUUCGAGUACCCGUUGUAGUACCUAUGAUAACGACUGUCCGAGGGGUUCGUCUUCAGACUGUUAUAGUACUCGUUGUAGUACCUAUGGUAAAGACUGUUCGAGGGAUUCGUCUCCAGACCGGCAAAGCUAGGUCCGAGUCAGCGACUACACUUCUUGUUCUACAAACCAGCAGUCUCCAGGGAGGUACCUCAAAACCCACCGCCUUUCAGACGACUACACAACAAUACCUCCUUGUUCUUCUAUAGAAGGUCACAAAACCCAGAGCGUUGUCGAUAGACCCAAAAGAAGCUCACCGAACUAAUGGUGAAGAACUGUUAGUAAAGUAAACGGGAACAAUAACCUUACCACCAAGUCAAACAAACCAGGUUGAAGAGUUCCAGAAGACUUUAUGGGGCCCAAUUCAACGGUCUCCUGGACAAACACUUGUAACGACAACGGUAGCCACGGGUUCAUUUGUUCAAGGAACCAAAGGAAGUUCUACACAGAACACUUUCUUUGAACUUCGUAAAACAUAACCGUUAACAACCUAACACCCGACGAAGACAUCGACCCUCGACCAAGUUGAAGGACUGACAGUAAAUGUAACCCAAACAGACGCGCGUGUGCGAGGGACACGACAUGCUCUUCAUGCUCCUGGUCCAGCUGCUGAAGGAGAUGUCGUAGGACCCGGACGAGGCUCUCGUCAUGGUCUUUGAGCUGUCGCCGCAGGACUCGUCCUAUGGGAGGUUCUCCUUGUUCUUCUCGCUCAUCUAACUAAUCUAGUCUACCUGUGAGUACUAAAUAGCUCACUUUAGGGUCGAUAAUAAAUAAGACGGAUCAAACACACGACGUCUGGACAUCACACAGAGUUGACAGUACACUCUCUUACACACGAGUUCACGAAGGACUUGCCUUGCGACCAAAUUUAAGUUGGCGCUGCGUACGCAGACAACAGGGUAAAUAAUAAUCACCCUACGACGAGUUGUUUGACCACUCUGGUCUUCAACAUACGUAUAUAACCUUUAACUCGACUUUAGGCGACACGAAACAGUUUUUGGUACAAGGGCGCUCCUUGGUCCUAAGAAGUGAUUGUAC
rnacentral:rRNA from 1 species